UGUGCCAAAGCUUAGCGCGUUCAUCAGUGGUGAGUUUAACAACACUCAACUGCAGGUAAAACAGCAUUCAGCGGUGAGUUUGACCAAAGCAACGCUCAACUGCAGGGAAAACGACAUAAAAAGGUGAGUUUAACAACGCUCCAAGGCGCGUGCAAGUAAGCAGUUUAACCGUUUUCUUACAACCCAUUUCGCUUAUCGCUUAUUCAUAGUUCAUCAUCUCUAUGAAAUCACGUUCAAGAAGUCUCAUUCAGCACACAUCGCGAUACUUGCCAUCAGUUUCCAUGUGCCACAGGGUCGCUGAAAAGAUGUAAAGGAAGCAGUCAUCCCUGUGGUGUUUGUGGAGAGGUUUUCCUUCAGAAAUGGAGAAGACUGAAAGCUGCGGAGGCAGACAUUUGCAGCAGAUUGUUUGCAGAUAAUGCUGUUCAAGCUCAACAGCUCUUUUAAGAGCUAACCCUCACAAACCUUCCUAAAAACUAAAAGAGCUAUUACUGAGUCUCAGCGAAUUUUGCCAUGAUCAGCUCUUCCCAGAAGAGAAGGAAGACCAAGGAAAUGAUUUGCUCAUGAGGAAUGAAGACGGCCAUCUUGAGCCCAAACAAAGACAGAAGUCCUCUGAUGAUCUCAUCAGCCAAAUGGGGGGUUUUGACCAAGUGAUGCUCUUGAAAGGACUGAAAGAAGAGGAUGUGGUAAAUUGUCUUCAGAGAAAAAGCUUCUCAAAAGGUCUUAAAACAGCUUGAAGAAUAGU